GAUGAACGCUGGCGGCGUGCCUAAUACAUGCAAGUCGAGCGAACGGACGAGAAGCUUGCUUCUCUGAUGUUAGCGGCGGACGGGUGAGUAACACGUGGAUAACCUACCUAUAAGACUGGGAUAACUUCGGGAAACCGGAGCUAAUACCGGAUAAUAUUUUGAACCGCAUGGUUCAAAAGUAAAAGACGGUCUUGCUGUCACUUAUAGAUGGAUCCGCGCUGCAUUAGCUAGUUGGUAAGGUAACGGCUUACCAAGGCAACGAUGCAUAGCCGACCUGAGAGGGUGAUCGGCCACACUGGAACUGAGACACGGUCCAGACUCCUACGGGAGGCAGCAGUAGGGAAUCUUCCGCAAUGGGCGAAAGCCUGACGGAGCAACGCCGCGUGAGUGAUGAAGGUCUUCGGAUCGUAAAACUCUGUUAUUAGGGAAGAAUAUAUGUGUAAGUAACUGUGCACAUCUUGACGGUACCUAAUCAGAAAGCCACGGCUAACUACGUGCCAGCAGCCGCGGUAAUACGUAGGUGGCAAGCGUUAUCCGGAAUUUAUUGGGCGUAAGCGCGCGUNAGCGGUUUUUUAGUCUGAUGUGAAAGCCCACGGCUCAACCGUGGAGGGUCAUUGGAAACUGGAAAACUUGAGUGCAGAAGAGGAAAGUGGAAUUCCAUGUGUAGCGGUGAAAUGCGCAGAGAUAUGGAGGAACACCAGUGGCGAAGGCGACUUUCUGGUCUGUAACUGACGCUGAUGUGCGAAAGCGUGGGGAUCAAACAGGAUUAGAUACCCUGGUAGUCCACGCCGUAAACGAUGAGUGCUAAGUGUUAGGGGGUUUCCGCCCCUUAGUGCUGCAGCUAACGCAUUAAGCACUCCGCCUGGGGAGUACGACCGCAAGGUUGAAACUCAAAGGAAUUGACGGGGACCCGCGCAAGCGGUGGAGCAUGUGGUUUAAUUCGAAGCAACGCGAAGAACCUUACCAAAUCUUGACAUCCUUUGACAACUCUAGAGAUAGAGCCUUCCCCUUCGGGGGACAAAGUGACAGGUGGUGCAUGGUUGUCGUCAGCUCGUGUCGUGAGAUGUUGGGUUAAGUCCCGCAACGAGCGCAACCCUUAAGCUUAGUUGCCAUCAUUAAGUUGGGCACUCUAAGUUGACUGCCGGUGACAAACCGGAGGAAGGUGGGGAUGACGUCAAAUCAUCAUGCCCCUUAUGAUUUGGGCUACACACGUGCUACAAUGGACAAUACAAAGGGCAGCGAAACCGCGAGGUCAAGCAAAUCCCAUAAAGUUGUUCUCAGUUCGGAUUGUAGUCUGCAACUCGACUACAUGAAGCUGGAAUCGCUAGUAAUCGUAGAUCAGCAUGCUACGGUGAAUACGUUCCCGGGUCU
rnacentral:rRNA from 1 species